CCUACGGGUGGCAGCAGUGGGGGAUAUUGGACAAUGGGCGCAAGCCUGACCCAGCGACGCCGCGUGAAGGAAGAAGGCUUUCGGGUUGUAAACUUCUUUUAUCAGGGACGAAACAAGUGACGGUACCUGAUGAAUCAGCCACUGCUAACUACGUGCCAGCAGCCGCGGUAAUACGGAGGUGGCCAGCGUUAUCCGGAUUUACUGGGUGUAAAGGGCGUGUAGGCGGGAGUGCAAGUCAGAGGUGAAACCUCUGGGCCCAACCCAUAGCCUGCAUUUGAAACUGUACUACUUGAGUGCUGGAGAGGCAAGCGGAAUUCCGGGUGUAGCGGUGAAAUGCGUAGAUAUACGGAGGAACACCAGCGGCGAAGGCGGAUUGCUGGACAGUAACUGACGCUGAGGCGCGAAAGCGUGGGGAGCAAACAGGAUUAGAUACCCGAGUAGUC
rnacentral:rRNA from 1 species